GCCGAAGUGGCGGAAUUGGCAGACGCGCUACGUUCAGGGCGUAGUUCUCGUAAGGGAGUGUGGGUUCGACUCCCACUUUCGGCACCA
rnacentral:tRNA from 1 species